GGAAGGAAGUCAGGGUUUGAAAACAAGCAAUAAUCUAACAGCUAAUAACCAGAAUCUUGAUAAUAACACAAAAAUUUUACAAAGGAGUCUCAGCCAAAUUAGGGACAUGAAAUUUUAGAAUUGGGUCAUGUAAUACCUCCUUUAGAAGUUAGGUUAUUAGUACACUGGGAAAAUAGCAUUUUAGGACUUUACCAUCUUCAUUAUUCAAUUCACUAUUGAAAGAAUGGUGUGCUGAUUAAAAACAAAAUGUGAAAAAAUGGACUUUUAAAUUUAAAAAAUGCAAAUUUGAAUCUGAGUUCUUCAGUGUAUUAGCUGGAUAUUUCAUAUUACUGGACAUAGACCACUUAGUAUAGUGCAUGACGUUAUUAUAUAUUCUCAAAAAUAGUGUUAUAUGUAAUGCAUACAUACAUGACAUAAAUAUGUAAAAUUUAUAAUGUGCCCAUUUAAAUUUUUAAUUAUGGUAGGUUUAUGUGGAUGUUUGCAUUUGUACAUCUUAUCCUAUUACAGAAAUAACUCAGUACCACCAAGUCACAAACAGAACUCGUCAUCUUCCUACUCAAUCUUCCCCUCUCCUACAUUCAUGUUUGCAUUUGUGCCACCAAUGACUAUCCAAUGACAAGUAAUCUCUUUCAUUCCCAUAACUUUUUGUUACUAAGUCCUACUGAGUUACCUAUUAAAUCUUUUAAAUUCAGGCAGGGUGUGGUGGCUCAUGCCUGCAAUCCCAGCACUUUGGAAGGCAGAGGCAGGUGGAUCAUCUGAGGUCAAGAGUUCAAUACUAGCCCGACCAACAUAGUGAAAUCCCAUCUCUACUAAAUACCAAAAAAAAAAAAAAAAAAAUUAUCCCCGUGUGGUGGCUCGUCCUGUAAUCCCAGAUACUUGGGGAACUGAGGCAGGUGAAUCGCUUGAACUCAGGAAGCAGAGGUUGCAGUGAGCUGAUAUUGCACCACUGCAUUCCAGCCUGUACAAGAGAGUGAAGAGUGAAACUCCAUCUUGGGGAAAAAAAAAUGAAUGGACAAAAUAAAUACUUUCACUUUCACAUUUUCUUCUCCAUCACUACUACCCUAUUUUAGUUCAUUCCUUUAUUUCUUCUCUCACCUGCUCUACAAAAUUACUCCUAAAAUAACACUGAACAAUUCUAUCUACAGUUAAGGUCUAUCCCUGUGUAUAAGCAAUAGAGUAUAUAGAAUAUACCACGUGUAUACAAUACAUUCUUCUUUUGGGUACAGAUCAUUUUAUACAACCUUAUUUUUUUUAAACUUCCUAUUUUCUAUUCAUAUAUUGAAAUUAAUGAGGCAUUUAUUUUGAAACUCUGCUCUUAUUAGAAAAAAUAUUUCAAAGGAAUGUCUUGUAAUUGAGAUCUAUGAACAUUAGCACUGUGAAAUAUAUUAACAUGAAUUUCAAAAAAUUAUAACAUGAAAUAAGCUUGAGAAGUUUUCAGAUAAAUAUGUAGAGGACUUAUCAGAUCCUCUAUUAUGCUAACAUGUUCCAAAACUUUCGGAGAGGAAUACAUCAUCUUUAGUGUGUCAUAAGCAUAUUUCACCAGCAAGCCCCUUUAUCAUAGUUCCUGUGUAACUAUUACCAUAUUUGGAAUAGUCUUAAAGACAAUGUUUGAGAAAAAACAUUCUAGAGUAUUUAUAGGAAAAAAUUAUGCUUAGAUGUACACAACGUGAUAUUUUUAGGUGACAUAAAUCAAAAUUAUUUUUAUAUUAUUAGUUACUUUGUUGAAAAUUAAUUUCUAGUCUUUGCUAAAUAUAUUGAUUUAUGAACAGCAAAUUAAGACCCACGGAGUGUGGAGAAAAAAUGAGUUUAAAAUUAAUUUGCAUGUUUUUAAGUAUGAUUCCCAAUGGAUUCUAUUUAAAUCCUUCUGACAUGCUCGUCCUUAAUAUCACUAAAAAAUACAGGAUUCGGCUGGAAUAAAUUAGCAAGAUGAUUAAUUAAGCUAGAAAUAUUUAUCAUUAUUAAAAAGUGAUAUUUCAGGGAAUCAAAAAAGCUACCUUUUUAGACCCACUUAUUCUACACUAAAUUUCAUAUUCUCACUUUAGUACAUUGAACUAUAGCUUUAUAAUAUAAUACAGACUCUGGUUUGAUGAAGAAUGCAAUGAAUUUUAGAAGAUGGCAAAUCUGGGAUUCUGAAUUUAUGUGCAAUCUCUAAUUUCAUCCUACAUUUUACAGAAACAAAACGAUUGUCUUGAGUCUCCAAGAGUCUUGGAAUGAUGUAGAAAUUUCUCACAUAAAUGAUUCUGGUUUGCAUGGUAUUCCAGUAUAUAUCAACGCUUACCAAAUACCGUAUACGUCUCUAGCAUUUUGGUAGAAAAGAAAGAAAGAGGCCCAGAUGAUUAGCUAUUCAAUAUUCCUCUGUAGCCAGAUUGUUUAUUCUAGGGAUAAAGAACUAUUGAUUUUAUUUUAUGAUCAAUCAAUACCACCUCAAAACUGCAUGUCAAAAAGUUCAGAAUUAGCAGCCCUAUAACAGUGGGAAACUCACAACACUUAGGAAGAUUACGAAGGGGAAAAUCCUUAGAAAUUUGCAUUUUCAUAAUAAAAUUUUUCUUAUAAAUGUACUUUUAACUUUUUAUUAGAGAAAAUGUCAAACAGGCACAAAAAUAGGAAUAGUAUGAAAAACCGCCAAGUACCUAUCCUAAACAACUCACAGUAAUAUUUUUCCUUCUUUAUCCCAAACCUUUCACUACCCUGAGUGUAAAAAAAAAAAAAGAAAAUACAAACAGAAUACUAUUGUUCCACCUUUGAAAAAAUUAACAAAAUGAUUUCUAAA
rnacentral:lncRNA from 1 species